rnacentral:rRNA from 1 species
UACGAAGGGGGCUAGCGUUGUUCGGAUUUACUGGGCGUAAAGCGCGUGUAGGCGGGUCGUUAAGUUGGGGGUGAAAUCCCGAGGCUCAACCUCGGAACUGCCUUCAAAACUGGCGACCUGGACUCAAGUAGAGGCAAGUGGAAUUGCGAGUGUAGAGGUGAAAUUCGUAGAUAUUCGCAGGAACACCGAUGGCGAAGGCAAUCCCCUGGGCCUGCACUGACGCUCAUGCACGAAAGCGUGGGGAGCAAACAGG